rnacentral:rRNA from 1 species
AUUGAACGCUGGCGGCAUGCCUUACACAUGCAAGUCGAACGGUAACAGGCCGCAAGGUGCUGACGAGUGGCGAACGGGUGAGUAAUGCAUCGGAACGUGCCCAGUCGUGGGGGGUAACUGCUCGAAAGAGCAGCUAAUACCGCAUACGACCUGAGGGUGAAAGCGGGGGACCGUAAGGCCUCGCGCGAUUGGAGCGGCCGAUGUCAGAUUAGCUAGUUGGUGGGGUAAAGGCCUACCAAGGCAACGAUCUGUAGUUGGUCUGAGAGGACGACCAGCCACACUGGGACUGAGACACGGCACAGCCUCCUACGGGAGGCAGCAGGGGGGAAUUUUGGACAAUGGGCGCAAGCCUGAUCCAGCAAUGCCGCGUGCAGGAAGAAGGCCUUCGGGUUGUAAACUGCUUUUGUACGGAACGAAAAGGCUCUGGUUAAUACCUGGGGCUCAUGACGGUACCGUAAGAAUAAGCACCGGCUAACUACGUGCCAGCAGCCGCCGUAACAC